rnacentral:rRNA from 1 species
UCAGUGAAUCAUCGAAUCUUUGAACGCACAUUGCGCCCGCCAGUAUUCUGGCGGGCAUGCCUGUCUGAGCGUCAUUUCAACCCUCAU